AAUAAAACAGGAAAAAGGAAAGAAAAAAUAUAAGUUGAAAUGUCUUAGAUUUGUAGUUAGGCAUCAUCAUUCCUCUAUGGACAACUUAAUUAACAGCAUUCUGAGCAUAAAAACAUUUUGGAGAGCCUCCUUCCUAUUGUUAUUGUUAGAAAACCAGUCCUAUUUCUUUAAAUAACACAGAAACUAUUCAUGAGAAAGAAUGAAUUUUUUUUCCUUAAUAUUACUUCAAAAACCAUGAUUACUGGUGUUUUUGUCAUAUGGUGUUUCUGACACAAAAUAUUAAUAACCACUACUAAAGCAAGAGAGAAGAAGUCUGAACAUAAAUUUUGAUGAGUGAUUACUUCUAGGUGAGGCUUUUCUGCACUGACUGAGUAAAGUGCUUUCAAAAUAGCUAAAACCUUACACUUAAGGAAGUGUAAAGUGACUUACUCAUGCUUAACUGUGUUAAAGAUUCUCAAUUCAGCAGCGAGUGUUCAGCUAGGUAAUUUCAAAAUAACUGGAAGCUAUUUAUGGACAGAUAAGCAAAAGACUUCACAAUUUGGUGAACCAUGUUUAUAUGUCUUAUAGAUGAGGAGAGAAAAUACACAUUAAUUAAUAUUAAGCCUUAAGGAUUAUUAGUGGCAUUUGAUAAAUUAAAUUGCAUUUCUUCUCUCUUUGGUAAGUUUAACCUUUCCAGGAAUACCCACUUCAUACCAGAUGAGUUUGUCUGUAGUUAUUUCAUACAAUCACUUACAUAUAUUACAGGAAGGAAUGAAAUCCAAUUCUUGCACUGUACUUUUGCUAAUUUUGUCUCAAAAAUCAGUAGUGCUGAUUUUCUUCUAAAAAGCAAUGAAGACUAGAAUAUUUCUUCUUGUUGUUGUGUGUGGUAUGCACAUAAUUCUCUGAACAGAGAGAGACAUAAUUCUCUCUCCCAGGAUUUUCCUGGGAAGCUGUGCGAUGCAGUGAGAAAGCUCAGAGAAGAAGAUAAACAAUUCUUAUCUUUACUUGCUGCAUCUGUUGUUUGGCACAUGUGGAAUGUGUUAUGGAGAUUGUUUACCAAAAGGGAUUUCUUAAUUGCACACUGGUGAUGGUGGUUUUGAUUGAUUGACCAAUUAGGUCAAAUCUAUGUUGUGACUGUCUGAAAGGGUCACAUGUUUUUAGUUUAGUAUUAGCAUAGUAUAAUAUUAGUAUGUAGUGCAAUAUAAUAUAGUACAGCUUAAUAAAGAAUUUGUUCAGCCUUCUGAAAUCAGGGAGUCAAUGCACGUUACUCUCCCAUCAGGGGUCUGCUACAAUAAUUGUGCUGUUCCUUCUUGUUUUCAAACAUUUUUUAAAGCUGUUGGCUUGUAAAAUAUGGUGAGAAAUGCUGAGAAUGAAGUGCCAGAAGACCUGUUUAUAAAGUGUCAAGUAUGACUGAAUCAUUUGCCUACCAUUCAAACUCAUCCAUAUUCCCUAUAAAAAAAACCAAUCAUUGCAAAAUAUUUAAAAGAUAAUAUGAAAUAAGAUGUUUCACAAGCAACUGAACUAAUAAAGCUCAACUUCCUAUUAAUUUAUGUAUAUAUGCUCCUACUGCAACAAUCUCAGCUCACCCAAAUUUUCUUCCAUCUGACCACUCUAUUAUAUUUAUCUCUUAAUCUCUCAGAUCUCCAAAAGCCUCCUCAAAACCCAAGAUCCACAGAGUUCCCAGACCUUCCUCCCAGUAUCUCAGUCUCAUGACACAUUCAAAACCACAUCAGCUGUUUCUGCACACCUCCCAAACCCAAAAUCAUUUUCAAGAAGGGUAAGAAGGACAACCCUGAAAACUACUGCAUGUCAGGCUCACUUCAGUGCAUGGUAAAGCCAUGGAAAAGAUGACUCUGGGAGGUACUGAAAGCACCCAGAGGACAAUGCAGUCAUUGGUCACAGCCAGCACAGCUUCCUGAGGGGAAAUCCUGCUUGUGGAACCUGAAGUCCUUCUGUGACAGGGUGACCCACCCAGCUGAGCAAGGGGAGCCAGGUGAUGGAACCUUUUGGACUUCAGCAGAACUUCUGAUAAACUCUCACAGCCUCCUUCUGGACAAAAUAUCCAGCACAGUGCUGCAUAACUGUUACAUGAUGGCUCUCCUGGACCCAGGACUCAAUACUGAGUUUGCACUAAAUUGGGAGGAGCUGUCCACUCCCUUGAAGGCAGGGAAAGGUUCUUCCCCCACAGGGUGCUUGGCCCUGGAACAGCUCCCCAGGGAAGUGUCACUGCACCAGGCCUGACAGUUCAAGAAGUGUUUGGACAAUGCUCUCAGGCACAUGGUGUGACUCUUGGGGGAUCCUGCACAGGGCCAGGAGUUGGACUUGUUAAUCCUGGUGGAUCCCUUCCAACUCAACAAAUGAUUAGCUAUGAUUAACUAUCUAUGGUUAACUCCUGAGCUCUGUUUUAUGUGUCUUUAAGAUCACUGAGCCUUCUAUCAUCACCACCUGGGCUUAACAAAUCCCAUCUGCUGCCUGGCCAGGGUCUGAGCCAAGCAGAACAGGUCAUUGCUGAGCAGGCAGCAGCUGGGUAGGUAUUUCAGCCUCUCUCUUGGUGCCAGUACAAAUGAAGUCUGCAUCAUCCAGCUACCAAGUUUCAUGAAACUUGCAGCAAUUUAUUAUCUAUGAACCUCCUCCUGUUCCUUGAAAUCAAAGUGCCCAUAAGCUUAAAACGUGACUAUAGACAGUGGAGUGAGAGAGCAGGACUGUGUGAGCCCUGUCUCAUUAGAAGCUGCAUCCAUAAAACAACAAGAAAAUGCCUGCUUAAGUACAGGAACCAGGGUUUCAUGAGUAAGGAGUCUUCUCCUCUACACCAAGGUGCAUGCUAGAUGCUAAGAGGCAGCCAUAGUCCAUCAUGAAGUGAGUUUGACCUCACUGCAAAAAAAGGCAGAAGUUCCAUCAUCAGGGAUUGUAACUUCAGCAGAGGAAGCAACAAGUGAGGUGACCACUAUUCCUUGUUCCCAAGCCUUGUAAUGGUCUUGAGGACGCCCUUCCUCACCUUCCUCACCAGACUGAGGGGAGGCAGCUGCUGUCUGUGCAGAGAUUUCUCCAUGACAAAAGAAUCUGACUGCUUUAAGGACACUUCAAGCUGCCUAUAACCAUCAAAAAGGAAAAGAGACCUCUGGUUGUAAGCCAGUGCCUUAGAAUGGCAAAUUAUCCACAUUCAUCAGUGUUUAUUGGCCAAAUCCUUCUCCAGCCUGAAGCCACAACUGGCAACAGCUGCAACAAACAUACCUUAUAAAGUUUUUAGAAGUACAGGAUUUAUGAGCUCUUUUUAAAAGCAUUUAAGACAAAAAACCCCAAAACCUCCAAACCAGCAAACUUGGCAUAAAUCAAAGUGUAGGAGAAUGUUCUCUGCUGCCAAUGAUACCAAGAAAGGCCCAAACUUCAAUUUGUAUCACAGAGAGAGAAUAUGUGACAAUAUAAAAAAAAUGGGAUCUGCAUAGCAAUGGAGAGAUACCUGCACAUUUUCAGAAAAAUAAAGAGAAUUACUUUCUAAAUCUGUUAGCCUUUUAUUGUAGGCCAACUGUGUAAUGUGUUCACUACUUUCUUAUUUUUAAUGAUGCUCCUCAAAGAGGUAAUAGUUGUAGUUAUAGAAGAUAUUUCUGACAUAAAGAAAUGUCUAAAUAUGCUGCUUUUAACUAACUUGAGUGAAAAAGCAUUUUCAAAUGAUACUGAACUCACGGCAAAAAUAUUUUUUCUAUUUUGGUAGCACAGUGCAAACUUGUGACUAAUUCUCUGGCUGCUGUCAUCAAUAAAUUUUCUUUGGAAUCAC